rnacentral:rRNA from 1 species
AGUGAACGCUGGCGGUAGGCCUAACACAUGCAAGUCGAACGGCCGCACAGUAAGAGCUUGCUCUUACGGGUGGCGAGUGGCGGACGGGUGAGGAAUCCAUCGGAAUCUACUUUUUCGUGGGGGAUAACGUAGGGAAACUUCCGCUAAUACCGCAUACGACCUACGGGUGAAAGCAGGGGAUCUUCGGACCUUGCGCGCUUGAAUGUGCCGAUGUCGGAUUAGCUAGUUGGCGGGGUAAAGGCCCACCAAGGCGACGAUCCGUAGCUGGUCUGAGAGGAUGAUCAGCCACACUGGAACUGAGACACGGUCCAGACUCCUACGGGAGGCAGCAGUGGGGAAUAUUGGACAAUGGGCGCAAGCCUGAUCCAGCCAUACCGCGUGGGUGAAGAAGGCCUUCGGGUUGUAAAGCCCUUUUGUUGGGAAAGAAAAGCAGCAGGUUAAUACCCCGCUGUUCUGACGGUACCCAAAGAAUAAGCACCGGCUAACUUCGUG